CCAAACUACUUGUGGCUGGUUGAUUACUACUGAUUACACCAUCCGCAGCAUACGAAAUAUCCCUGGGACCCAACUCCGGAAAAAAGGAAUUAUCGAAAUGCCCUGACAUUAAAGGUUAAGAAGCCAUGAUGCCAGUUAUGCGCCCAGCCAAAAUACCUGUCUCCUUCUAGACAUGCUUCUGACUCUUACAUAGCCCAAUAGCUCCAAAUGUGCAUCCAAGGCUUGCUCAGACCUCUGACUUCCUAAGGAAGAACUGUGCCAAUGGUAUAUGCCAGGAGUGUAGACAGAGCUUAGAAAAGUGAGGUGGGGAAUCCACAAAUACACAUGCACCACCAUCCCGAUGAACAAAUUCAGCUGUGGGGAAAGGGGGCAGUGGGUGGGUCAGGGGCCAACUUUCACUGAAUUUCAUAUUUUGUCAUGUAACUCCAUGAAGUCAGAGAACUCUAAAUUUGAACCUUGUCUUUCAUAUCAUUAUGAAAACAUACUUGUCAAGAGAAUAAAACAUUUUAUUUAAGUCUGGUAGCUUUAUUAAUAACUUUUAAAUAUUAAGACAAAUAGUAAUGUGGGCCUCGAUUUGUACUCCUGUCUGAACCCUGUAAGUGCUGGUGGGAUGCCUGGACUUAAUAGUUAAAAAUUGCAUUUCAUCAGUACUAUCAGAUUUUACGAUCUGAUUGACAUUUUCAGUAUGACAUCUUUAAGACAGUAUCAGCCUGGCGUUCCCAUCAUGGCUCAGUGGUUAACGAAUCCAACUAGGAACCAUGAGGUUGCAGGUUCGAUCCUUGGCCUUGCUCAGUGGGUUAAUGAUCUGGCAUUGCCCUGAGCUGUGAUAGCUCAAAGAGGUGGCUCAGAUCCCACAUUGCCGUGGCUCUGGAGUAGGCUGGUGGCUACAGCUCCAAUUGGACCCCUAGCCUUGGAACCAUAUGCCCCAGGAGUGGCCCUAGAAAAGGCAAAAAGACAAAAAGACAGUAUCAGCCUGAAAUGAACCCAAAUCCCAAACAUUAUUAGAGAGAUGAAAAGCUCAGAUUUUGGAAUAAGCCAAAUAUUGCUUUUAAUCCAUGUUCAUUUGCUAGCAUUGUAACUUUGAGGAAGUGAUUUAACCUUUCUGAGCCUCAAUUUCACCUGUAAAAUGAAAAUAAAGGAUCUCAGGACUGUUUUGAGGAUUAAAUUAAAUAAUACACAUUAAGUGUUUAGGAUAGUGACUGAUAUCCUAAGUUCUCAAGAAAUUGCAGCUACUUUAUGGGAAAAUGUUAAAUGCUACUAGUUAGGCACUACACUAAGUUCUUUAUCUGCACUGUAUCACAAAAAUUCUCUUAAUAAUCCAGAUGUGGAUAUCAUCUCCACUUUAUAUAAAAAGGAAUUAAAACUAAUACAAAUGACCUUUCAAACAACCCUGUCAGGAUGACAGAGCAAAUAUUAAUGCCAGUUUGUGAAGAUGAAAAAUGACGAUUUUCAAAUGACUUGUUCACUUUCAGGAAGACAGUAAUCAGUGGAUCCAGAUUUAUUAAAGCCCACUCUGACUUCUACUUCAGUAUUGUUUUCACUGUGCCAUUAUUGCCUCUGAAAUAAUAUUACUAUUUUCACAAAUGUGUAAAUCUAAAUGUUUUACAUUGAUAUCCCUAAAUGUUAAAAAGAAAGGAUCCUUUCAUUGCCAUUUGAGAAUAAAGGCAUAAUGGAUUUUCUACCUACCACCCCAAAAAGUCAAAACAUUAAACGGCUUUAAAUCUGAAAAUUUUGCUUAGUAGAUGUUUCACAAAACUUCAACAUUUACAUAAAGAAAAAUCAAGUAUCCCCCAAAUCAUUCCUCACUGGCAAAUACCAAUUAUCUUUCAAAAAAGACAUUUUGCUAUCUCCUGGAUAGAAAUUACAAGGCAGCAGAGGUUUUAUCUAUCUUGUUCAGUGUAUCACCUAGAAUUGUGCAUAUUAUAGAUACUUAGUAAAUAUUUACUGAAUUAACAAUUACAAACUCAAAUAAAAUCUAUGUAAUUUUCUGUGUUAGAUGCCGUGGUGUGUUAUGGAUAGAUAUUAGCUUGAACUACAUGAAACUCCUGCUUUUUGACUACUUCUUACUUCUAAGAGGCAAUUUUACACAGUUCAAUCUAAUUGUUUAUAAAAAAAAAAGCUUUCUAGAGUAUAACAUUAUAAAGUAAAGAAGUAAAAGAUACUGUGCAAGCUGAGGCAGAAAUGGAGAAAUUUUUUCUUCUAAGAAAAAUUUAUAUGAAAGUUGAUUUAGGUCCUGUGUUGAAACAGUCUCAAAAAUCAUCUGUAACACUCUCACACUUUUAAAGAUCAUUAUUCACGCUUAUUUUUGCAUUUAAGAUAAUUCUCAUUUUGGUGUUAUGUACAUAUGGAUAUACUCACAUAUGAAAAAUAUGUUAUGAACAUGUACUAUAUUUCUCUUUAUUAGAUAAUUCUGAUUUCAUGUAAAUGUUCACAUAUCUAAUUAGGCACAAUUCUAACUAUCAGCAAUGAGUAAAAUAAAUUCCAGUCUCCAAAGAACACACUGAAAAGCUAAUUUGGGAGUUCCUGUAGAUUUUAAUAUCAAAUAAAAUAUAAUUUACAUGAUUAAAAAGUUUUUAUUUUAUUUUAGCUUUUUAGGGCCACACCUGUGGCAUAUGGAGGUUCCAAGGCUAGGGGUCAAAUCAGAGCUACAGCUGCUGGCCUAUGCCAGAGCCCCAGCAAUGCCAGAUCCAAGCCUCGUCUGCAACCUACACCACAGCUCAUGGCAACGCCAGAUCCUUAAUCCACUGAGCCAGGCCAGGGAACAAACCCAUAACCUCAUGGUUCCUAGUCAGAUUCAUUUCUGCUGCGCCCAUAUUGAGUUUUUCUCACAUUUCAAAUGAAAUGCUGAUGGCCUAUAAAAGUAGACAAUCUGCCAUGAA